UACGUAGGGUGCAAGCGUUAAUCGGAAUUACUGGGCGUAAAGCGUGCGCAGGCGGUGAUGUAAGACAGAUGUGAAAUCCCCGGGCUCAACCUGGGAACUGCAUUUGUGACUGCAUCGCUGGAGUGCGGCAGAGGGGGAUGGAAUUCCGCGUGUAGCAGUGAAAUGCGUAGAUAUGCGGAGGAACACCGAUGGCGGAGGCAAUCCCCUGGGCCUGCACUGACGCUCAUGCACGAAAGCGUGGGGAGCAAACAGG
rnacentral:rRNA from 1 species